AAAGAAGAGAUGGAAAAUAUGCGACUAUGAAAAUAAUCUUUACACAGUUUUUCAAGAAGAGUAAGUACAGAAGUGGGUCGUAAAAGUCCCCAUGCAACAGCUCCUGGAGCUGUAUUUGCUUUUACAUAUUUUCUGGGUAAAUAGGAAUCUAGGGAGGCCGUCUCCCACCUGGAAAAGCCCAGACCUGCAGAGUAAUGACCUAUGACUACCUAGUGAUGACCCAAUGAUGACCCAUACCUGCUUCUAGCUCAUAAAUCUUCUACUUGGGAUAUAACAUUUCAGGAAGUGUUUCAACCAAUACAAAAUUAGUUACAAAAAAGCUAGUUCAAUGGUUUAGAAUGACAAAAAAAAAUCCUGAAAUGCAGGAUGAGUCAUUGGAAUACUUUUUAUCAUCUUCCAGGAGAUACUAUAAAAGUACACCUAGAAAUCUACUUUUUGUCUGCAGCUGGGGCACAUAAUGGUCUGCAGGGGAUAUGUAAUGCAACAUAUAUCACAUGAAAAACAUUUGAAUACAAAUUAGAUUUCAUGGGGUCUUUAAAUUGUGUUUUUCAUUUAAUGCAAAAAAGCACCUUGCUGCUGCAACGUUUUUCUCUGUGUUGGAUUAUGGAGAAGUUUUACACAUGAAUGCUUCUGCUCAAUGUCCUCUAAUGGUUGACACUGUUUGCUAUGCUUUUCUGAGGUUUAUUACCAACUGUAAAGCGUCGACUCACCACUGUGAGUUGCACUCUCAGGUAGGAUGUCCUGCUCUGGACACCAGAAGGAUUAGCCAUUGAUACAUGUUUAUAUAUUAGGCAAUACUUGACCUCCUGCCUGUCUACAUUUGUGCACUGACUGUGAUGAGAAGUUGUGAUAUUUAUUUGCUUCGCACAAAUCAUAUAUUGCUUUCUGUUCCAUUCGCCUGUAGAGAACUGGGUCAAAAGGCUUUUGUUUACUCUGCACUUUGUGCAUGGAAUCAGCUGCAGAAAGACGGGAAACUGAGUUAAUUUCUUUGAGAGCUUUUAAGUCCAAACAGAGUUUUUGAGGCUGAUUCCAUGACCUGCACUACUUUUUCUUAAUCUGCUUGUAAAUAUUAUUUUUACUAACCAUUGUCAAAUGUGUCUGUCCUAUGUGUUUUAACUGUGUAAUCUUGUAACUGUGUGUUGUAUUUGCUGCUGCCUAUCUCGGCCAGGACUCCUUUGUAAAAGAGGCUCUUAAUUUCAAUGGGAUUUUCCUGGUUAAAUAAAAAAUACAAAUAAAAGAAUAACACAGAAAAAAAAUGUUA